UACGGAGGGAGCUAGCGUUGUUCGGAAUUACUGGGCGUAAAGCGCGCGUAGGCGGCUUUGUAAGUUAGAGGUGAAAGCCCGGAGCUCAACUCCGGAACUGCCUUUAAGACUGCAUCGCUAGAAUCAUGGAGAGGUGAGUGGAAUUCCGAGUGUAGAGGUGAAAUUCGUAGAUAUUCGGAAGAACACCAGUGGCGAAGGCGACUCACUGGACAUGUAUUGACGCUGAGGUGCGAAAAGCGUGGGGAGCAAACAGGG
rnacentral:rRNA from 1 species